CUACGGGAUGCAGCAGUAGGGAAUUUUGGACAAUGGGGGAAACCCUGAUCCAGCAAUGCCGCGUGAGUGAUGAAGGCCUUCAGGUUGUAAAGCUCUUUUGCCGAUGAAGAUAAUGACGGUAGUCGGAGAAUAAGCCCCGGCAAACUUCGUGCCAGCAGCCGCGGUAAUACGAAGGGGGCUAGCGUUGUUCGGAAUCACUGGGCGUAAAGCGCAAGUAGGUUGUAAAGUAAGUCAGAUGUGAAAUCCUUGGUUUCAAGCUAAGAACUGCAUUUGAUACUGCUUUACUUGAGCACAGCAGAGGAUAGUAGAAUUCUAAGUGUAGGGGUAAAAUCCGUAGAUAUUUAGAGGAAUACCGGUGGCGAAGGCGUCUAUCUGGACUGUAGCUGACACUGAGUUGCGAAAGCGUGGGGAGCAAACAGGAUUAGAUACCCUAGUAGUC
rnacentral:rRNA from 1 species